rnacentral:rRNA from 1 species
AUUGAACGCUGGCGGCAGGCCUAACACAUGCAAGUCGAGCGGAUGAAGGGAGCUUGCUCCUGGAUUCAGCGGCCGACGGGUGAGUAAUGCCUAGGAAUCUGCCUGGUAGUGGGGGCUAACGUCCGGAAACGGGCGCUAAUACCGCAUACGUCCUGAGGGAGAAAGUGGGGGAUCUUCGGACCUCACGCUAUUUGAUGAGCCUAGGUCGGAUUAGCUAGUUGGUGGGGUAAAGGCCUACCAAGGCGACGAUCCGUAACUGGUCUGAGAGGAUGAUCAGUCACACUGGAACUGAGACACGGUCCAGACUCCUACGGGAGGCAGCAGUGGGGAAUAUUGGACAAUGGGCGAAAGCCUGAUCCAGCCAUGCCGCGGGUGUGAAGAAGGUCUUCGGAUUGUAAAGCACUUUAAGUUGGGAGGAAGGACAGUAAGUUAAUACCUUGCUGUUUUGACGUUACCAAAAGAAUAAGCACCGGCUAACUUCGUG